GUGGCUUGACCACAAGAAGCCACUUCUAUGACUGAAAUAACUGUGUAUCACUAGGAAAUCCUAGAACUUGAAUUGGAUGCACUGACUGAUACUUUGAGCAGUCACUCUUAAGAUAAGGUGUAUCUUAUGUGUGGGAAGAAGAGUAAAACAGAUGCUAUUUACCAGAAGAGUGAACUAUGGCAGAAAUUGGCCAGACAUUCAGCAAACCUAUUUUUUUUCUCCUAGACUCUCAGCUAGACCAUAUUUCCCAGCCUCUGUUUUGGUGAGGUGCAAUUAUAUGACUUUCAGCCUAUGGAAUGUGGAAAGAGUGAUGAUUAUACACCACUUUCAGGCUUGGCUUGUAAAAAUCCACCAAUCAUUCCUUCACUUUCUCUCCUCAUAGUUGGCUGGAUAGUGACACCUAAAACCACAGCAAAAGAUGGCAGAGCUUCCACCAGCCUAGGUUCCUGAAUGACUGCAUGGAGUGUGCCCCAGCCCCUGCUGACAGUUGGACUUUAUAUGCUGCAAUAUGCCACCCAGAUUUCUUCUUCAGGAAUGGAAGAUUUGUUCCCCCAGCUGCUAAAGUGCUGCAGGAAGACACUCCUCAGCUCUCAGUCCUCUUUGGGGAUUGCUGUGGCAAAAGAAAACUGGAGGUCCAAGAUGAUACCUCCUUCCAAGAGUAGCUCAUAUACAAUGAUUGAGAGGUGCCUGUUCUUGCUUCAGCUAGGGACAAUUUUGAAGGGCCAUCCCAGAUCCAGAGCUUGUCAUCAGGUUGAUUAAUUGAUUACAUUUCAACUUCUCCCUCUACCCAAUUCUGCUUUCGUUCCCUCCCUUCCACAAGUGCUGAUCCCAAGACCACUGCCUAAUAAAUGGCCUGCACACUAGUCUCCAUCUCUUCUUCAACUGUAUCUCCACCUCUUCUUCCUGAAGCAACAUGCUGUGACACAAACGUUAAUGUAUGUUCGUGUAUCUUAACCUUUGUUGCUCUAUAUUUCCCUUCUGCUCACCUCUAUUUUUCAAGUUUAUAGCAACAUUUUGUGAAAAUAAAUAAAUAUGAAAGUUUUACAAAGUAUCAUCAGAAUGUAUUUCUAUAUCAGCUUUAGCAAUAACAAAACAUGCUAGAAUUUCUUCCAAGAACAUAAAAUAGCUGAAAGUACCCUAGCCAUUGAAAAUAAAAGAUAUCAUCCUUGUUUAUCAAGAAAACUUAAAGGAAUACAAAUGAUGAAAAAAUAAAUAGACAUGUAAUCAGUUCCCAUUAGGUAGCAAGUUAAAUGCCAAACCAAAGCUUCCUCAUUAAAUCAGUUGUACAGUUGUGUUAUUUCCAAACUCCUACAACAUCACACAUGAGUAGAAGUCACUUAGAAACCUCUUUAAUUCCCUUAAUACUUGUUCAUUUAAUCCACUUGCCUAGACUGUUGUUUUCUUGUGAGCCUUUGAUGAGCUUUCAAACCUACAGGUUCCUAUGUUUGACAAGUGUUUCCUACAAC
rnacentral:lncRNA from 1 species